UUUGACCCGGAUAGAUUUUUGCCUGAGGAGAUCCAAAAUCGUCAUCCGUAUUCGUAUAUACCAUUCAGUGCUGGACCACGUAAUUGUCUCGGUCAACGAUUUGCUAUGAUGCUAAUAAAAGCAAUAACAGCCCCUCUAAUAAACAAUUUUUAUUUGGAGCCCGUCGAUUAUUUAAAAAAUCUUCAGCUAGAAGUCGGUAUUACACUUCACCCAAGUCAUCCACUUCGUGUGAGAUUUGUACCAAUUUGUAAAUAGAUGAAAGCAUUUAAA